UUGGUUCAAUGAAGAAUCUUUGUUGAAGCUGAUUUCUGUAUUUCGUAAAAUCCUUGAUGCGAGUGCGUUGAUCGAAUCAGGUGACGGUGAAACCCGCGGUGGCGGCGUCCUCUGGGCGGUCUGGUGGUACAAAAUCCCUACGAUCAGUGCAGUCGUUGAGUUUAGCUGCAGGACUGAGCCUGUCAAUAUGCUGUUUGUGCACAGCCUGCUUUGUUUCUUUUCUUGAUCAUGAAAAAUUUACAAGAGCUAGCUACACUUCAAUCCAAUGCAGUGUCGAUUAUCCAUUGUUUGCUCCUUCAUUCAUUGUCUUAGAUACCAUAGCAGAUUGUACGUUGUUUCAAAUUCGAAGUCGAUCCUUCUAAAGAUGUUUGUUUGCCAUCCAAGCUGAAAUUAGUUGUAAUACUUGGGAAUUUUUCUGCUAUGUUUCUUUUACCAUUGUUUUGUAUGACUAUAUACCACAUACUCUACUGUAAGCUCCCAAUUCCCAUUUCGAGAUUCUUCAAAGGAGUUACCGUGUAUGCUAGAUUUUGUACUCCGGGGUUUGUUUCCAUUAUGUUUGUUGAAAUUCCAGGAGUUGUUUGGAGGAUCAAAGCUAACUGACUCCUCUGCUAUUUUCAGUUCGGAGUUUAAUGGAAAGCUAACAUUAGUUUGUU